rnacentral:lncRNA from 1 species
UCCAUCUUCCCCAAAACAGAACUCCAGAAACUGAACCCCCUCUCCGCCCCCAAAAUUAAAAAAACCAGCAACCCCCCCAAUUUUUAAUCCAAAAAAUCUUGAGUGGAGCCCACCACUCCCACAAAAAGUAAAGAUUCUCGGUCCCACAUGCUAGCUAAGGCGUUAUCUCGGACAUUGUUGCUUGUUUCGUCUCCAAAUUAUAAAAUCUUCGACUUUCUAAAAACCUUAAAUUGAGGUAUUUCAACUUAGUUUUGUUAAAACAUGUAUAAGAAAUGAAUAUUAGUUAUUUUUUAUGUGCUCUAUGUUAUUUUGUGAUUUAACUAAUUUGUUAUUUUUUGUCCGAACUAUAGUAUUAGUGUGCUAAAACAAUUCGUAAAAAGAAAAGUUAUACUUAGUUGUUAAAAACUGUUAAUUAGUUACUUUUUACGAUGGUAUAUGCAAUUUCGUGUUUUUUUUGUGAUUAAAUUGAUUUAUUUUUUUAAUCUGAUUUAGAUUAUUAAUUUGCUAAAAGACUUGUAAACUAGAUAAAUUUUUAUUUUAGUUCCCUUUAGUAGUAUCUUGUGGCCUAAUUUGGUGCUCUAUUUGUAAUUUAGUGACCUUUUAGAGUAAUAAAAUAUAGUGUCCUUUAGUGUAGUAUCCUUGUUGUUAUAUAUUAAUCAUUUAAGUAACUCUUAUUCCAAAAAUACGUCAAAUACUGAUAGUUCAAAUACAAACUAUCUCCAAUUAUAGUCAACAAACAUAAGAACAUAAGAAUUCAGGAGAGUCCGAAACCAAUAUGUAGUUCUUUUGGACUCAAAGAGCGAAAAUAUAUGGUAAAAAACUUAGUGAAAAAAAGAUAUAUAGCAUUUUUUUGAGAGACUCUAUACCUUAAUGACCGUGCGGCCAGUUAAGUAUAGUGUCAUUUUAAAAGAUGCUAUAUUUGAAUAAAAAAAUGCAGGAACCUAUAGUGUCUUUU